GACCCCGUAUCAUGAAGUAUGUGAAAGACCCUUAAUAGUAUGCUUAUAUAAUUUCAUGUUGCCCUGCAUUACAUAAAGAGGGGCAAAACUCCGAGGCUCUUAUUCGGAUUAAAAGCGUAGCUCAGUACCUUUAUUUGAGAAGCAACCCAUCCAUGUUCAGAGAUGACAGUUCUCCGCCAGUCUACUGGUGAUAACCAUUUGAUUCUGCACUUGGGAAUAAAUUUUCUGAUAGCUGAUGAUAUGCUUGGAAUACUUGCUGUCAAGCUAAAGAAAGGAUCGGCUUUGGAAUUUGGGCGAAGUUGCAUAUUACCGGCAUGCAUGUUGAAGGGAAGGCCAUUAACUAUAGUGCACAAAAGAAGGCUGUUUCAGAAUUUAAAAGCACAUUACUAAUACAGCUCAAAGGUCAAUCUCCACUUCACAUUGAUUGACAACUUCCACAUUGCAAAGUAUUGGUUGUGUUAGCUACAAAACUACAUCCUUUGCUUCAGCAAUUCAGUAAGUUGCAUACAUGCAGUUGCUUAUCUUUCGUUAAUAGAAUAUACUGAAUUCUUUCUUGAGGUAUCUACAUAGUGAUCUGAGGUUUGGUGCGUACUUUGACGUAAAAUAGUUUAUUCUAAGCCUAACUAUUUUGUUUCAAUAUGUAUGUCUUCAAAUCUGUAACUGUAAGAAAUACUUUGGUUACUUAUAGCAUGUUUCAAAUUUUCAUGU